UUCACUGAUGAAUCUAUCACAACCGUUCUGGUGACAUCUUUAUGAGCCAAGAACAAAACAUGCAUCACCAUCUGACC
rnacentral:snoRNA from 1 species